UCCGGCCGAACGCUGCAAGUCGCCUCAGUGCAUUUAUAAUUGGAUUUGCCAUAUUCCCAUAUUGUGCGCUUCAUAUUCCGUGUUUCCUAUUCCAUAUCGAUUGGAUACACCUCCUACGAGCUGCAAAAGCUAAUAGUCCAGAAUGGAGAGUGCCCUCCCGGUGGCCGAGUUCCAGCAGAUAAAGCUGCGUCCGGUGCCAAAGGUCAAGCGCCGAGCCCCCCAGCCGCCAGUGAGCCUUCGCCUGAAGCAUAAGAAUACUUCUGCCACCACAAAGACAACCACGCUCACCACCCCCGCCAAACUGUAUGGCAAGGAUCUGAGUGAGUACGACGAUGUGGACGUGGAGAGCCUGCUGGCCCAGCUCUCGCCCGAGGAGAUAACCAUACUGGCCAAAGAGGUGGAUCCCGAUGACAACUUCCUGCCGCCAGACCAGCGCAACAGCUAUGAGUGCACCAAGGAAGCCACCGGGCCCCUCAAUCGCAAGCAGCUGAUCGAGCACAUCAACAAGCAGGCCAUCGAGACACCGGAUCAGCCGGAAUUCGAGCCGUUCGUUCAGGGCAAGGUUCGCGGAAAGAAGUGGGUCCCUCCGCCAAGGGAUGCCCGCGACAUCGAGGCCGAGGAACAGAUCGCCAUCGACAUGGGCGAGGAGUACGAGCACGCCCUCAACGAUGCCACGCAGGAGGAGAUCAUUGAUUUGGCCGCCAUCCUGGGCUUCCACUCGAUGAUGAAUCAGGACCAGUACCACGCCUCCUUGCUCAACAAGGGUCAGCCCGUGGGCCUGGGCUGGGAUGGCAUCACGAAAUCCACUCAGCAGAAGCUCUUCCCCAUGGAUCCGCCCAAUAGCACAGACGUGGAGGAGUCCAUCAAGCGGGUCAAGGACGAUGACUCCAAGCUGAUUGACCUCAACUUGAACAACAUUAAGAACAUCUCGGACGAGAAGCUCGAGCAACUGUUUGCCGCACUGCCUCAGAACGAACAUCUGGAAGUCCUCUCGCUGACAAAUGUGGGCCUCACCGACAAGACAGCCCUCCUGUUAGCCGCGGCCAUUGAGAAGAGCAAAACCCUGAGAGUAUUAAAUGUCGAGACCAACUUCAUCAGUCCGCCCGUGAUUGUUAAGCUGGUGCAAGCCCUGCUCAAGUGCCACACCAUCGAGGAGUUCAGGGCCUCCAAUCAGCGGUCUGCGGUGCUGGGCAACAAGAUCGAGAUGGAAAUCACCGACCUGGUGGAGAAGAACUCGUCGCUGCUGCGCCUUGGCUUGCACCUGGAGUUCAACGACGCCCGCCACCGAGUGGCCGCUCACCUGCAGCGCAACAUCGACAGAAUCUUCCGCGUUCAGAAAAUAAAGCCCAAUCUACCCAAGUUGAUCCUGCCGGGCAACAUGGAGAUUGAGCGGGAUCUGGUCGCCUAUAACCGAUCGGCCACGCCUUCUCCGUCGCCAUCGCCGCAGCCUCCGGCGGAUUAUGAAGUGGAAGAGGAUCCGGAUAACAUGGUUAUCCGCGGUGGCGGCGAUGCCUUCGAUCCGGAGAUCGAUCCCGACAACAUGGUGGUGCCGGGCAGUCGGUCCGUGACACCGAACUACGACGAUGAGGGUGUCUAUCAAGCGCACACUAAGAAAAGAUCUUGAGUUGCGACUGCAGUUCAGAUUUUUCAAUAAUCUGCAUAGAAAGUCGACAAGAAUUCAAUAAGCAGACCAGAAACCAAGCAACUAAACCAUUUUCAAAGCGUUUUGUAAUCUAAACCCAAAGAACCGAAGAAAAACAAGCACAUAACAACGAAAGAACGUGUAUAAUAUAAUAUAUAUAUAUAACAAGAAGAAGGAAGCAGGAGCACAAGUUUAAGCUAAAGAUAAAGCGGCCAACGAGCUUGCCAAAAAAUCUAUAUCUAUAUACUCUAGAGACUUUAACUAAGCAAAGCAAACUGAAACCAAAGAAACGAAGCGAAAUAUCAAACUAAAUACAUAUACCACAUAUAUCGAUAAAGAUCGCAGAUCGAGCAGACUCGUGAUCCAUGGAUAUAGCAUAAUACCCAUGAGCCACGAGUUAUCUUUUAAGUCGAGGCCUCUUCUAAAACUCAGCAGAAACCGUUUAGGCGCCACGUGUAUAAUUUUCUCUAACGCUUAACACAGGAAUUAAACUGCGAUGUAUGAUCUAAGUGAGUUCCCAGAUCCGAGUCAAAGUACAGCGAUAGUAGCAGAAAUCCAAGAAAUAACAAACGUAGAUUUGAGACACUUUUAUGAUUCAGUAAGAGCCACCAACUAACAGCAGAAAAUAAAGCAGCACCACCGACAAGAGGAG
rnacentral:misc_RNA from 1 species